GGGGAAUAUUGCACAAUGGGGGAAACCCGUGAUGCAGCGACGCCGCGUGAGUGAAGAAGUAUUUCGGUAUGUAAAGCUCUAUCAGCAGGGAAGAAAAGAAUGACGGUACCUGACUAAGAAGCCCCGGCUAACUACGUGCCAGCAGCCGCGGUAAUACGUAGGGGGCAAGCGUUAUCCGGAUUUACUGGGUGUAAAGGGAGCGUAGACGGUGAAGCAAGUCUGAAGUGAAAGGUUGGGGCUCAACCCCGAAACUGCUUUGGAAACUGUUUGACUGGAGUACAGGAGAGGUAAGUGGAAUUCCUAGUGUAGCGGUGAAAUGCGUAGAUAUUAGGAGGAACACCAGUGGCGAAGGCGGCUUACUGGACUGUAACUGACGUUGAGGCUCGAAAGCGUGGGGAGCAAACAGGAUUAGAUA
rnacentral:rRNA from 1 species